UUCCUGAUUUGAAGAGCCCUGUGCUUGGCGGUUUCUCGGAGCUGCUUGUCUUGAGUAUGGUUCCCACAUGCUAGUUUCUCACCCAGAUAAGAGUGCCACCUGCAGGUGAAGUUUCCGAAGCCAUGAGAAGGGACUGGCCAGCGAUGCCUGGGCCUGAGAUGAAGUGUUUGAGAUUAGCGUUCGCCUAGGUCUUCCUCCCACCCAGGGCCCCGUUUGCACAGCCUCUCAGGAUCAUGGGUUUCUCUUCUGAGACAGUCUAGCAGUUCCACCCAGUCUGUGUUCUGAAGACCAACACGCCCGUGUGUGUGCGCACACACACAUAAACACACAGUUUUCUCGAGAGCAGGGAUUGAGCUAUCCAUGGCCUUCCCUGAGUUGCUCUGUGUAGUCCCAGGCUAACGCUCCUUUCAGCUCUACACCUGAGGGUCUUUUGGGAGUGGGCUGGCAGAAGUGGGUCAGUGCAUCUGGAAGCCCAAUUUAGUAACCGAGUGGAGGCAGGGGCAUGCUGUCUAUGGUCUUCUAGGCUAAGAAACCCAUUACAAAAGGCACAAAGAACAGAAAAUAGUUGGGCCUCAAAGGCACGGUUUUUCUUCGGUCUCUUCCCUUCAGUUGCUCUGGGUUAGACAGCUACAGUUCUGCUUAGAACCAAAAUAUUGUGACAGUACAGAUCCCUGUUCAUCCCUGGUCCCCAUACUUUGAAUUACUGGUUAUUCAAAGGCUUGACAGAUUAAAAGGUUUCCGUCUACAAAAUGGAGACCUAGGCAGUUGGGAUCACCCCAUCAAUAAAAUGGGUUACCAAUUGGGCCUGGCCAUCAAAAUAGUGCCUAGUGCCCCCACACACAUAAAACAUGAAAUCAGAUCUCUGGGUUCCUGUCUUACAGCCAUGUGUUUGAUUAUCUAUUUAUUUAUUUAUUGGGUUUUUUUUUUGUUUUGUUUUUUUGUUUUUUGAGACAGGGUUCUCUGAAUACCCUUGGUCCUAGUACUUGCUCUGUAGACUAGGCUGGCUUGGAAAUCAGAGCUCUUCCUACCUCUGAUUCUGAGUGCUGGGAUUAAAUGUAUGUGUUCGCAUCGCCCGGCUAGAACGUUUUAACAUUCAUCUGUGUGGAUGUGUGUGUGGAGGUCAGAAAACAACUGGAAGGAGUAUGUUCUCUCCACCGUGAGGUUUCUGAAGAAGGAACUCGGGUCCUCAGCCUUGACAGCAAACUGCCAUCAUCUGCUGAACCAUUCCACUGACCUGUACCUGUGUUUUAAAAAUCAUUUAUCUAAAGCCAUCGAACUAUAAAGUAUACAUCUUACUAAACGGAAAUUAUACAACAACAACAACAAAAAAAAAAAACAAGUUCCCCAGGAGACUCCACAGCACAGUCAGAUGACCAGAAGGAUCACUGACCAGGUCUAAGAGCCCAGGCCAGCUUGCGAAGUCACGGGUGAUGGAGCCCUGGCUCCAUCACAUCCACAUGUUUCUAAUGAGCCUCAAUGGUUCCGAGGGCAACAAGAUGUGGCCCGAAGACAACAUCUCUCUCAGCCUCUGUUUUUCUCCUAGCAACCAUCUGGCCUACGUUUUUAAUUGGCUGGGAAGCGCACGGCGAUUCGCUGCAGACCAGGCUGUCUCUUCAUUGGUCGCCUCCUUCUAGUGGCGCCCGCGGUCCCGCCCCUUUCUCCGAGCUCCUUCGGGAUCGGCCAGCACCUUCGACUAAAUUCUAGUCGCUAUUGGCUGAAGCCUGUGUUCGUAGCCCCGCCUCCUCCCCGUUCUGCGCGCCAAUUGGUGAAGCUGCCCCUUGUCCACGGAGGGAGCGCAGCGCGCGCGUGCGAGCGGCCAGCCGGCUGCAUGGCGCGCUGCGAGCGGCUGCGCGGCGCGGCCCUGCGCGACGUGCUGGGCCAGGCGCAGGGAGUCCUGUUCGACUGCGACGGAGUGCUGUGGAACGGCGAACGCAUCGUGCCGGGCGCCCCUGAGCUGCUGCAGCGGCUGGCGCGGGCCGGCAAGAACACGCUGUUCGUGAGCAACAACAGCCGGCGCGCGCGGCCCGAGCUGGCGCUGCGCUUCGCCCGCCUGGGCUUCGCGGGGCUGCGCGCCGAGCAGCUCUUCAGCUCCGCGCUGUGUGCCGCGCGCCUCCUGCGCCAGCGGCUGUCCGGGCCGCCCGACGCAUCGGGCGCAGUGUUCGUGCUGGGAGGCGAGGGGCUGCGCGCUGAGCUGCGCGCCGCGGGGCUGCGCCUGGCGGGGGACCCCGGCGAGGACCCGCGCGUGCGCGCCGUGCUCGUAGGCUACGACGAGCAGUUUUCCUUCUCCAGGUUGACCGAGGCGUGCGCGCACCUGCGCGACCCCGACUGCCUGCUCGUGGCCACCGAUCGCGACCCUUGGCACCCGCUCAGCGACGGAAGCCGGACCCCCGGUGAGCACGGGACUGGGCGCGGGGAUGUGUGCUGGGACCUGACGCGCUUUUCGGAAUUCCUGCAGCUGCCGCCUGUCGGAUAGUGGCCGAGGACCAGUUUGACACACGAGCCACCUUAGGCUCACUGUAGCUCAGGGAAUUGCAGGUACUGGAAGCCUGGCUGCCGCGGUGGAGACAGCCUCGGGACGCCAGGCCCUGGUGGUGGGCAAGCCCAGCCCUUACAUGUUCCAGUGCAUCACAGAAGACUUCAGCGUGGACCCCGCCCGCACGCUGAUGGUGGGGGACCGCCUGGAGACCGACAUACUCUUUGGCCACCGCUGCGGCAUGACCACCGUGCUCACGCUCACGGGCGUCUCCAGCCUCGAAGAAGCCCAGGCCUACCUGACGGCUGGCCAGCGUGACCUUGUGCCUCACUACUAUGUGGAGAGCAUUGCGGACUUGAUGGAGGGGCUGGAGGACUGAGCCCACCUCCCCUGUUGUUCCCUGAUCCCACAGAUGGAGGCGACGGGCCAUGAGUCACAUUCGGGACCAUGAGCUUUCUGGAGUGGGUGUCUGUACCCCAGUGAAGGGAGGCUGGGAUCCAGGAAGGUUUGUGGGCUUUCACACCCCCCUCCUAGCCGUGGCUGGACACUCUGCUCUUCAGAAGCUGUCCCCCCACAUCUUGAAGGUUCACCCUGGCCUGACCCCACCAGGUGGCCUUAUUUCCUGCCCUGUCACCUCCCUUCCUUGGGCCCCGAAGCCAAAUGAAGAUUUUUUUUUUUCCAACCUUUUAAGUUCCUCCCACUCUCUGGGAUCUCUAGUGCUCUGUCCCUAGAGAUUGUUGGCCAAUCAGAGAUCUAGGGAACUCCAGCCCGUUCCUGGCCUGACCAGGCCUCUGGGAAGAGCUGCUGGCACUGCCGGCCUAUGUCUCAGAGUGGGCCUUUAGUGGAGCAAGUAGGAGCUUAAAGAAUGCCUUGCAUAUCCUGGAACCCCAGAGCACCAGUCAGAGGCUAUGCGUCCAUCAGGACAAUUAACGAUCCCACUGGCCUCUUAGAUGCCAAUUAGAACAAUUUCCAAGUCCAAGAGACUUGUGAACUUUUGACAAUCCUAGCCUGACUGGAUCCUGGGACCAGAUGCUGGUAGCACAGGGUGAUGAAUGCCGGUAUGUAUAGCACUCGGGAGGUUGAAGCAAGAGGAUUGCUGAGUCUGGUGACCGGGAUGGCAGAGUCAGACCUCAUCUCAGACAGAGGGUCAUCCUUCAAGUCACCCCACUCCACAGACUGCUCAGUGGGGCACCUCUGUGGCCCUGGGGUAGUGUGGAGAGGUUCCCACUCAUACCUUAGCACCGUCCAGUGUUGAUGGCUUUUUCGGCUUGGAGGGGGCCCUCCUUUUGUCCCCACCUGCAGUCAGUGUUUGCAGUGCCACCCUCACCUGCCCAUUCCCAGCUAUUUAUUUAUUUAUUGUGUGCCAGUGAAGGUGGGGGUAGGGACCUUCCCACCCCCUCCACCUGUUGUAACCGGUCCUUGAACUUAAUAAAAUGUGAAUUGAAGUGUC